GGGGUUGUAGCUCAGUGGAUAGAGUGGAAGAUUGCAAUGGCUCUUCGAGUAAAAAUUGCAAGCUAUCUUUAGGUCGCCGGUUCGAUCCCGGCCAAUCCCU